CCUACGGGGGGCAGCAGUGAGGAAUAUUGGUCAAUGGACGAGAGUCUGAACCAGCCAAGUAGCGUGAAGGAUGACUGCCCUAUGGGUUGUAAACUUCUUUUAUAUGGGAAUAAAAUGUUCCACGUGUGGGAUUUUGUAUGUACCAUAUGAAUAAGGAUCGGCUAACUCCGUGCCAGCAGCCGCGGUAAUACGGAGGAUCCGAGCGUUAUCCGGAUUUAUUGGGUUUAAAGGGAGCGUAGGUGGAUUGUUAAGUCAGUUGUGAAAGUGUGCGGCUCAACCGUAAAAUUGCAGUUGAAACUGGCAGUCUUGAGUACAGUAGAGGUGGGCGGAAUUCGUGGUGUAGCGGUGAAAUGCUUAGAUAUCACGAAGAACUCCGAUUGCGAAGGCAGUUCACUGGACUGCAACUGACACUGAGGCUCGAAAGUGUGGGUAUCAAACAGGAUUAGAUACCCCAGUAGUA
rnacentral:rRNA from 1 species